rnacentral:rRNA from 1 species
AACACGUGGAUAACCUGCCCUUGGGACCUGCAUAACCCCGGGAAACUGGGGAUAAUUCGGGAUAACGCAUAUGUGCUGGAAUGCUUUAUGCGUAAAAAGGAUUCGUCCGCCCAAGGAUGGGUCUGCGGCCUAUCAGGUAGUAGUGGGUGUAAUGUACCUACUAGCCGACAACGGGUACGGGUUGUGAGAGCAAGAGCCCGGAGAUGGAUUCUGAGACAUGAAUCCAGGCCCUACGGGGCGCAGCAGGCGCGAAAACUUUACAAUGCGGGAAACCGUGAUAAGGGGACACCGAGUGUCAGCAUCAUAUGCUGGCUGUCCAGGUGUGUAAAAUACACCUGUUAGCAAGGGCCGGGCAAGACCGGUGCCAGCCGCCGCGGUAACACCGGCGGCCCGAGUGGUGAUCGUGAUUAUUGGGUCUAAAGGGUCCGUAGCCGGUUUGGUCAGUCCUCCGGGAAAUCUGAUAGCUCAACUAUUAGGCUAUCGGGGGAUACUACCAGACUUGGAACCGGGAGAGGUAAGAGGUACUACAGGGGUAGGAGUGAAAUCUUGUAAUCCCUGUGGGACCACCUGUGGCGAAGGCGUCUUACCAGAACGGGUUCGACGGUGAGGGACGAAAGCUGGGGGCACGAACCGGAUUAGAUACCCGGGUAGUCCCAGCCGUAAACGAUGCUCGCUAGGUGUCAGGCAUGGCGCGACCGUGUCUGGUGCCGCAGGGAAGCCGUGAAGCGAGCCACCUGGGAAGUACGGCCGCAAGGCUGAGACUUAAAGGAAUUGGCGGGGGAGCACAAAUCACUAGUGAA